rnacentral:rRNA from 1 species
CUUGGUGGCCAUACUGGAGAGGUCACACCCGUUCCCAUUUCGAACACGGAAGUUAAGCUCUCCAAGGCCGAUGGUACUCGGAUGACCUCCGGGGAGAGUAGGUAACUGCCAAGA